rnacentral:misc_RNA from 1 species
AGCUAUAUUAUCAUUAAUUGUUGUUUACUAAUACGUAUAUAUUAAAUAAAAUUUAUUGGUCUUAUUAAAUUUAUGAUGACAUUAGAUCCCUAAUCACUUAUUAAUGUGACUUUUCAAUUUUUUAAUUUUUAAUAUAACAUAUAUACAAUAUUAGAAAGCUAAGUCAUGUGAUAAGGCUACAAUAUAAAAAUGAGUUAUGAUAUGAAGAUAAAUAGGCUAAUUUUGAAAAAUAAUUAGAGAACAUAAUGAGAUAUAAAAAGCCAUAGUCACAAGUAUGUAUAAUAUGUAAAAUUACUAUUGAAAAAAUAAUUCUACUAAUUUUUAUAGCAAAAAGCCAAUAUAAAUUUAAAAUAAUUAUAAAUCUCCAUGAUCAUUUUGAAAGUUAUAUAGUAAAGACAGUAUGUAAAGAUGAUAAAAAAAAAAAGUUUCUACAAAUAUUUACGAGAUAUAUAUGAUCUUAAAAUUUAAGAUUUUUUUAUAUUUUUAAUAUUUUUUAAAUUUAAAUACCAUAUUUUUAUUAUGUAUUAAAUUAAUAAUUUUAAAAAUUAAAUGUCCACGCAACAUGUGGAUAAAUGUUUUAGUUUUAAUUAAACUUCAUCUUGAUUUUAGAUAAUGUGUCAUUUAUCUAUUGAGUGAUUGCAUACGUCCGAGUAUAGGCAAGAACAACUCAAUAUAAUACUAGUUCAAAUAUAAAUGGUGUCAUAUCAAAAUUAAUAUGAGUAUUUUAUUUUUCUAAAAUAGAAACAUAAUCAUUGUAUAUUAUUUUAUUAGAAGUAUGACUUACUAACAUGUCUUCUUCAUAUGCAAUCAGGUCCGAGUCCGAACUAGUCGAGGAAAUAGUAAAUGUUGUUUUG